CGGGUGCACUGAUCCAGCCGGGCCUUUCCCUCUGUGGAACCCCAUGGCCUUCACUGGCUGUGGUGGGGAAACAGGACUUUUACUUUGAAAAAAUUAGAGUGCUCCAGGCAGGCCUAUGCUCGAAUACAUUAGCAUGGAAUAAUAGAAUAGGACGUGUGGUCUAUUUGUUGGUUUCUAGGACCGCCGUAAUGAUUAUAGGGACAGUCGGGGGCAUCAGUAUUCAAUUGUCAGAGGUGAAAUUCUUGGAUCUAUUGAAGACUAACUACUGCGAAAGCAUUUGCCAAGGAUGUUUUCAUUGAUAAGGAACGAAAGUUAGGGGAUCGAAGACGAUCAGAUACCGUCGUAGUCUUAACUAUAAACUAUGCCGACUAGGGAUCGGACGAUGUUAUUCUUUGACGCGUUCGGCACCUUUCGAGAAAUCAAAGUGCUUGGGCUCCAGGGGGAGUAUGGUCGCAAGGCUGAAACUUAAAGAAAUUGACGGAAGGGCACCACCAGGGGUGGAACCUGCGGCUUAAUUUGACUCAACACGGGGAAACUCACCAGGUCCAGACACAGUGAGGAUUGACAGAUUGAGAGCUCUUUCUUGAUUCUGUGGGUGGUGGUGCAUGGCCGUUCUUAGUUGGUGGAGUGAUUUGUCUGCUUAAUUGCGAUAACGAACGAGACCUUAACCUGCUAAAUAGCCCGUACUGCUUUGGCAGUUCGCCGGCUUCUUAGAGGGACUAUCGG
rnacentral:rRNA from 1 species